rnacentral:rRNA from 1 species
GACGAACGCUGGCGGCGUGCUUAACACAUGCAAGUCGAACGGAAAGGCCCUGCUUUUGUGGGGUGCUCGAGUGGCGAACGGGUGAGUAACACGUGAGUAACCUGCCCUUGACUUUGGGAUAACUUCAGGAAACUGGGGCUAAUACCGGAUAGGAGCUCCUGCUGCAUGGUGGGGGUUGGAAAGUUUCGGCGGUUGGGGAUGGACUCGCGGCUUAUCAGCUUGUUGGUGAGGUAGUGGCUUACAAAGGCUUUGACGGGUAGCCGGCCUGAGAGGGUGACCGGCCACAUUGGGACUGAGAGACGGCCCAGACUCCUACGGGAGGCAGCAGUGGAGAAUAUUGCACAAUGGGCGGAAGCCUGAUGCAGCAACGCCGCGUGCGGGAUGACGGCCUUCGGGUUGUAAACCGCUUUCGCCUGUAACGAAGCGUGAGUGACGGUAAUGGGUAAAGAAGCACCGGCUAACUACGUG